UACGGAGGGUGCAAGCGUUAUCCGGAUUCACUGGGUUUAAAGGGUGCGUAGGUGGGCAGGUAAGUCAGUGGUGAAAUCUCCGAGCUUAACUCGGAAGCUGCCGUUGAUACUAUUUGUCUUGAAUAUCGUGGAGGUAAGCGGAAUAUGUCAUGUAGCGGUGAAAUGCUUAGAUAUGACAUAGAACACCGAUAGCGAAGGCAGCUUACUACGCGAUCAUUGACACUGAGGCACGAAAGCGUGGGGAUCAAACAGG
rnacentral:rRNA from 1 species